rnacentral:lncRNA from 1 species
CUUAGAGUUAUCGAUCGGUGGCGGAGACAAUUUCAGUUGCAAGUGUACGGUCCAUAGUUUCAAGAGCUAUACGAAGCUUGAUUCUGUGGUUUCUUCUAGUAUUAUUUCUCCAUUGGAGCCUUGUGUUCUGUAUGUAAGUGCGAGAUAAGAUCCUGUCAUGGCUGCACAGCACACACAGAAUAUCAAAUAAGCAAGCAAGCUGGCAUUUGAAUGGUUGAAUCUCUUUUCAUUGUUUAUGGUCCACCAGGUUGAGAUGACACCAGAGGAGGCUAAACAGAUAUAAUUGACUUGGCAGACUCCUCACUCUCUUAUUUCUCUCAAAAGUUGAGUGUUCCAAUUUCGGGGUUUCUUUUCUUGGUGGUAUUUUCAGCUGCCAAGCAUACUCAUUUGAAGUCAUUCUCUGUCGAUAAGACGAAGGUUUAGCGUCAUCUUAAAGCCACAAUCAGAAGCAAUUCUUGAAGAAUCAUCCAUUUGUAAUAGAAAAUAUACACCUAAUACACAAUGUUUAUUUGAAGAAUCAUCCACCGUUGAUGGGGAAGAACAUAAGCAAGAGAUAUUUACUUCUACGACUCAUCUUCGCCAGGGUACGUGAAUUCUCAGAGACGCCACUGACUAAGCAGCUUAAGAGAGAUUAUAUGAUCUGUUGAGCUAGGCAUUUUGUCAAACACAAAAGUGGCAUAUUCGUGUUUCGAAUGACAAAAAGAGUCUUACAAAUCCAGCAUAGGUGUCAAUCAAGGUACCGGCUCCUCCAGAGGCAAAGUUUGCUCCGUGCGUAUAUUCCUUAUUACUGGGUUCAAGAUAUGCUGGAAUGGGUGGCAGCUUCGCAUACUCAGCUGCAUCACGGGGUUACGAUAACUAACUGAUUAAAGAAAAUAAAGUUAAGUUCUAUUGAGACAUUGGUCACCUAUGAAGUCGGGAAUGAGACGGCCAUCAGAGAAUCUCCCAUUUGGAGUGCUAAAGUAGGAUUGGCCAUAUGGCCAAUGAUUCGCUUGAAAAUCAGUAAUGGUGUUGAUGUAGUUGUUGUUUCCAGGAUCGAAAAAUGAAUCGCCGAAAACAAAGAGUGCGGAACUCAGGCAGCCAGUAGGUAUUGAUAAGCUGAAAACAACAACAAUAGGAAGAAGAAGAAAGACCAAUUUUCCAUCUGCAAUAGCCAUGGAUGAUCUAUGAUGGACUCUCAGUAGUACUAAAAAGCAAUUCUGAAGUCAUAAGUAGGUUCAAGAUACAUACAGAUAAUGAUAAAUCAUGAAUAAUUUAUUUAUUGAGAGUUGUAAUCAGAGUAGAUGGGAGGCUUAGCUAGUUUCUUUUGAUCCCCCUUCGUUUAUUACAAUAAAUUUACUAGCAGAAACCUAUAGAGGAAUUUUGGAGAAAGCCUGCCAACUGGAAUCAAAAGUUCAGUUUAUGGAU